CAGCCAGUGACUGACAAGAACUGGAGGAUAAAUAUACCACUUCCCUUUCCUUGUCUCUCAAGGAAGGACAAAUCUGGGAAACUCAUCUAUUACACAAAAGGAAGUCUACAUAUCAGAAGCAAAACAAAACAGUGAAACAUCUCUAUACCAAAUUUUUUC
rnacentral:lncRNA from 1 species